AAGUCGUAACAAGGUUUCCGUAGGUGAACCUGCGGAAGGAUCAUUAUCGAGUUUUUUGAACGGGUUGUCGCUGGCCUCUCACGAGGCAUGUGCACGCCUGGCUCAUCCACUCUCAACCUCUGUGCACUUUAUGUGAGAAACGGUGGACUUAUUGGCUCUUUGAGUCGGUAAGAAGGCCUUUCUUAUGUUUAUUACAAACGUUUCAGUUAUAGAAUGUUUACUGUGUAUAACACAAUAUAUACAACUUUCAGCAACGGAUCUCUUGGCUCUC
rnacentral:misc_RNA from 1 species